AACGUGCUCCGGGGUCGGUGAGAAUCCGAACCGGCGGUGACAGUCCGCGAACCCCUCCGCAUCACGCGGUGGGGCCGAUCCGGUGGAAUUCCGGGACCGACGGUGAUGCGACGGGAAUCCGUCGCUAGUCCGGAUAGGAGGCAGCACGGA
rfam:Microbacterium testaceum StLB037 DNA, complete genome.